AUAACCAAUUCACCUCACACCAAAACCUUGAAGCUUUGAAACUCCAAAGCUCCCAAGCAAAUCCCGAAGGAUCAAGAAAGCUCUUUUCGUUCUUCGUCAAAUCCUCAUUCGAAAUCAAGCCCCAAUGGCCCCUUGAAGAACUUCCACUAAUUCAAGAUCAAGCCCCGACGGCCCUUGAAGAAAGUGUUCAUCAUCCAUCAUUCGUUCAUCCCUAUAUCAAGCCCCGACGGCCCUUUGGAUCCACGACGUCAACAAAUCUGCACAACUGUUUAUCCCAAGAUCAAGCCCCGACGGCCCUUUGGAUCAACAACAUCAAAUCUACCCAUUACAAAGAUAGAAUCAGAGGCUAAAUUUGUAGAAGAGAUUGUAACCCCUA
rnacentral:lncRNA from 1 species